rnacentral:hammerhead_ribozyme from 1 species
AUCCAUCUGAUGAGUCCCAAUUAGGACGAAACGCGCUUUCUGGAU